AGCGGGGUGGGGUAGUCAGGAAAUCCCGACGGGCUCAUAACCCGUAGAUCAGUAGUUCAAAUCUACUCCCCGCUACCA
rnacentral:tRNA from 5 species